GGUCUUUCUGUAGGAAAUGCAAAUACAGUAUUACUAGAUCACAUAGUGAUACAUCGAGGAUUGCUCAAGUGUUUCCUCCGCUGUCUUGAGUUAAUUGACAUCACACCACCGUGUCACACAGGAUAACUCGAAAAAGUUAGAAUCUUUCAUGUGAAAAGAGAGUAUCCACUCGAUGGUAUUAUAAUUAUUUCCUCGCCUUUCAGUAGCAACGUUCGUAAAUUAAAAUCCCUAAUGGUCGCUCCAAUUGAAAAGUUUUAAUAUGUAUCACAAUCUUGAAGAUAUUAUUGCGGGACUUAUUGAAGAAAAGGGCUUUCUUACCAGUAAAAGACUCACUUCAAAUUCCAAGGUGCAGACUUGAUAUCUCAUCAAGUGGAAACUUCCUGAUCUGGAUUCAACUUCAUUCCUACCUCACCUGAAGCCUCGAUUUGUAGUUCCUUUUCCAGAUCCUGCCCCCUAUACCUGAACCUGCACUAUUUACCAAUAUCCCUACACUAUUCACAGCCAGUGCCACCAAGCACCACUCCUCGAGCCAGCCAAACUCUUCUAACGCUCCUAAGCCCUCCAUCCCCCACCCAUGCUCUGUUGUGAAUGUGAAUUAAUCUUGCUACAGCUAUUUAAGUUGGGGGGUGGGGGUGAUUCUCUCUCUGGUAAUUUAUGGUCCAUGCACAACACUGAAGAAUUUCAAAACAAAAAAUAAUUCUACUUUACCUUGAUGUACAAAAAUGAUGGAGGCUGAAUUUUGCCCAUUGCUUAUUUCCUUCAAAUUGGCUGAAUACACACAUCUACCAACAUACCAGAGUUAAACCAAAUGACUUCCAGCAAACAUCGAGUGACACAUGUAAAGCUACCUAAGUUACCAUGACCCCUGCUGGCUUGGAGGAUGAUCCACAAUAAUGUAUUUGUUGUCUGCUACUUUAGCAUCCACAGAUUGGAUAAGCCUUGCACCUACAGGAACAAAAGUACAUAUGAUGUGUUCCUCCAGAAGUCUCUGCUGCAGUGCCUAGUGCAACUUCUUUGCCAUUUUAUUUCUUGUGCUGGCAAGCGUGAAAUGUCAAUGGUCACUGUGUGACCAAAGUUAAAGCUGGGAACAGCAGAGAUCAGGGAUGUGGGCAAGCAUUAUGGCUAGAGCCAUGGUCUAGAGCUAAGGUCUGGCAUGAGGCAAAACCAGAACUGCAGACAGGAACAUUGUGGAGAAGGAGCUUACAUAGCUGUUACCUCCAUAGUGAGACAGGUGAAUGCCCAAUGCAGGCCAUAUCAUCAAAGCUAGCAGCUUUAGUGAUAACCGCAUUUUUAUCGUUAUCCACAUGAGGUCAAUGCUGCAACUCCUUAUGAAUUAUGAGGGUUUAAUGUAAAUGCAUUCAAGUUAUAUUUAUGCAUUACCCCACCCUAGCUCCCUCCAAGUUAAUUCAAUAUUAUUUAACAAAAAUUUUUAAAUAUACUAGGGAUGUUUUGCCUAAGCAGAUUAGGAUCUUAUGCUGUGUACGGUCUGAUUGCAGUAUACUUACAGGCAUAGAGUACAGAUGAUCCAUUAUCUGCUCCUAGCUGUUAUCUUUAUCGUCAGUCACCUCUGACACCACGAGGAGACUGAGAGCAUCCGUGUUUUCACGCUACAUCUCUGAUUUGAAAUUAACAGUGUAUUUAUAUGCUCUCAGAGUUAAAGCUCAUGAAUUUAUGGGGAAACCAUUUGAGGCAGUCAUUUUAUUUUAUGGAAAGAUUUGUACUCUGUGUAGAUGGUACAAUGAGGUCCCUCAUAAUACUUAAGGAAUCUCUGCACACCAAGGAUGAUGGCUAAACAUUUUUUUCCUGCUGUCCUGGUUCCACAACAUGUACCCUAUUUGCUUUUGAGAAACAUUUUCCAUUUGUUUGAAGGGCCAUAGUUCCGUAUUGCAAGAUAUGAUUGAACUCCUCGUGUCAGGCUCGGUCCCGAUCUGACACCUCCCAGAUUGCACAUGCAGGCACUUCCUAGUCACCAUCCAGCUAAUAUAAUUCACCUGCCACUCAUUCCAGAAUCAUUACCUGCAGCUUAUUUAGCCCCAGUUUUCAUCCAAAAUCUUUGUUCACUCAUCAAACCAGCUAGCCUCAAAUAGUUGCUCCUAACUUUUACUCUCUCUGCCUAAAGUUUACCUGUUGUGUUUAGUUACUGUUCUCUCUUAUUUUUUGGUCUCUUAUUUUGUGGUUUGCUAUUUUGAAGUCUAUUAUUAAAGAUAUCAUUCACCGAUGUAUCGUCUCCACUGCUCGAUCUUUGGGUCAAGCUUCCUCUACAUUUCCUGACGAGAUGAGUGAAUCAACGAUUCAUCCAGCAGGAUAAGCUCACCUAAAGGAAGUUGUCUACUGA